GUGUCUGCACGGACCUAAUGCUGAUGGUGAUCUACUGCACAUGAAUGGAGUGUGUGCUACAGGCAGACCCCAGAAGGCUAGGUUUUUGAGACGCCCUGAAGAUACCGUGCCUUGGACCUUGGAUUCUGAAUUUGCUCCUUGAUGAAGAAGAUGGCAAGCCACUAUUUGUACUUCAUCUACCCGGAGGAAGACACCUUUCCUUCAUCCCCUUAUGUGGUGGUGUGGUGGGACUGUAUUACAAGGCCUGCGAUCCCUUUGCUUUUAUUACAGGGUGCACCCAGAACUAUAAACUGACCUCAGAACUACCAGAUCCAAAACUGGCUGAACCUGACCUAAACACUGAAUAGACUGACUACAACUAAGGACUGAUGAAACUUGAACAUAACAAAGAACUGAACUUUGUUACACCAUAAGGGACAUUGCUUUAGAGGAACUAAAGACGUCUACUGUACAUGGUUUAUUAAAAUUGGUUAUUAAAGUUGAAUUGGUUUAA